GCUGUGAUACAGAUUAAUUGAUGGUGAAUCAGCUGUUGGGAAAACAAGCUCAGGGCUCCCACUGAUUGUACAUUAUGACCAAGUGUGUUGGGGACUUGAGAUGCGUACAUGAGUGUUUGUGAUGUUUCCUGCCGAAAGCACAGGUGAGACGUGGUCUUGUAACACAGUGGUUAAGAAUGUGACUUUGGAGCCAGCCUGCUAGGGGCUGAAUUCUGACUCAGCCAUUUACUAACUGUGUGACCUUAGGGAGGAGGACCUGGUUGAUAGAAGAAUUUAUCUCGUAGUCUUAACAUCCACUGUAAUUCCAAACUUUGAGGACGAUAGAGAUCAGUGGGCUUUGACUGCCCAGCAUGCAGUCUCCAUUCUUAGGUGGGUUCCCAAGCCUGUAAAAUGUAAGCCUUAUGCUGCUGAGGGCCAUCUUGCCACCCUGAGGGAAACGCUGCCUGAGAAUGAAACCAGCAUAAGUAAAAGCUGAGCUGUGAGAUGGAGCAAGAUGAAGGCCACAUGACAUCUUUGGAGCACCUGGAUCUAACUGUGCCUUAAGCUAGUCUAACCCUGAACAUUUCAUCAUUUCAUUGACAUGAGCCCAGGUUUUCUUUUUUU
rnacentral:antisense_RNA from 1 species